rnacentral:rRNA from 1 species
AGAGUUUGAUCCUGGCUCAGAGUGAACGCUGGCGGUAGGCCUAACACAUGCAAGUCGAACGGCAGCACAAGGGAGCUUGCUCCCUGGGUGGCGAGUGGCGGACGGGUGAGGAAUACAUCGGAAUCUACCCUGUCGUGGGGGAUAACGUAGGGAAACUUACGCUAAUACCGCAUACGACCUUCGGGUGAAAGAGGGGGAUCGCAAGACCUCUCGCGAUUGGAUGAGCCGAUGUCGGAUUAGCUUGUUGGCGGGGUAAAAGCCCACCAAGGCGACGAUCCGUAGCUGGUCUGAGAGGAUGAUCAGCCACACUGGAACUGAGACACGGUCCAGACUCCUACGGGAGGCAGCAGUGGGGAAUAUUGGACAAUGGGCGCAAGCCUGAUCCAGCCAUACCGCGUGGGUGAAGAAGGCCUUCGGGUUGUAAAGCCCUUUUGUUGGGAAAGAAAAGCGACCGGCUAAUACCCGGUUGUUCUGACGGUACCCAAAGAAUAAGCACCGGCUAACUUCGUGCCAGCAGCCGCGGUAAUACGAAGGGUGCAAGCGUUACUCGGAAUUACUGGGCGUAAAGCGUGCGUAGGUGGUGGUUUAAGUCUGCUGUGAAAGCCCUGGGCUCAACCUGGGAAUUGCAGUGGAUACUGGAUCACUAGAGUGCGGUAGAGGGUAGUGGAAUUUCCGGUGUAGCAGUGAAAUGCGUAGAGAUCGGAAGGAA